rnacentral:lncRNA from 1 species
UACAGUAGUGAAGGUCAACAUGCAGGGAAACAUCCAUACAGUAGUGAAGAUCAACAUGCAGCGAAACAUCUAUACAUGAUUGAAGGUCAACAUGCAGGGAAACAUCUAUACCGUAGUGAAGGUCAACAUGCAGGGAAACAUCUAUACAGUAGUGAAGGUCAACAUGCAUGGAAACAUCUAUACAGUAGUGAAGGUCAACAUGCAGGGAAACAUGUAUACAGUAGUGAAGGUCAACAUGCAGGGAAACAUCUAUACAGUAGUGAAGGUCAACGUGCAGGGAAACAUCUAUACAGUAGUGAAGGUCAACGUGCAGGGAAACAUCCAUAUAGUAGUGAAGGACUGGUAAACAUGCAAGGAAACAUCCAUAUAGUAGUGAAGGACUGGUAAACAUGCAGGGAAACAUCUAUACAGUAGUGAAGGUCAACGUGCAGGGAAACAUCCAU